rnacentral:rRNA from 1 species
CUAUGCCUACGGGAGGCAGCAGUGGGGAAUAUUGGGCAAUGGGCGCAAGCCUGACCCAGCAACGCCGCGUGAAGGAAGAAGGCUUUCGGGUUGUAAACUUCUUUUGUCAGGGACGAAGCAAGUGACGGUACCUGACGAAUAAGCCACGGCUAACUACGUGCCAGCAGCCGCGGUAAUACGUAGGGGGCAAGCGUUAUCCGGAUUUACUGGGUGUAAAGGGAGCGUAGGCGGCAGUGCAAGUCAGAAGUGAAAGCCCGGGGCUCAACUCCGGGACUGCUUUUGAAACUGUACAGCUUGAUUGCAGG